CACACACACACACACAGACACACACACACACACAGACACACACACACACAGAGACACACACACACACGGCUCUACACCAUGGUGGUUCAGGCUGCAGUGGCUCCGAAUAGAUCCCAGAGACUUUUACUGAAAAUUCCGUAUGGAUCUCUGAGAAGACGCAGCGUGGAGAGGAUGACGGAAGGCCGUCGAUGUCAAGUACAUCUUCUUGAUGACCGGAAGCUGGAACUCCUAGUACAGCCCAAGCUUUUGGCCAAGGAGCUGCUUGACCUCGUGGCAUCUCACUUCAAUCUGAAGGAGAAGGAAUACUUUGGAAUCGCCUUCACAGAUGAGACGGGACACUUAAACUGGCUUCAACUAGAUCGAAGAGUCUUGGAACACGACUUCCCCAAAAAGUCGGGACCAGUGGUUUUAUACUUUUGUGUCAGGUUCUAUAUAGAGAGCAUCUCAUACCUAAAGGACAAUGCCACCAUAGAGCUCUUCUUCCUGAAUGCCAAGUCCUGUAUCUACAAGGAGCUGAUUGAUGUUGACAGUGAAGUGGUGUUUGAAUUAGCCUCGUAUAUUUUACAGGAAGCAAAGGGAGACUUUUCUAGCAACGAAGUGGUGAGGACGGACUUGAAGAAACUGCCAGCACUUCCCACGCAGGCUCUGAAGGAGCACCCCUCCCUGGCUUACUGCGAGGACCGGGUCAUCGAGCACUACAAGAAACUGAACGGCCAGACCAGAGGCCAAGCCAUCGUCAACUACAUGAGCAUCGUGGAGUCUCUCCCAACCUACGGGGUUCACUAUUACGCAGUGAAGGACAAGCAGGGGAUACCGUGGUGGCUGGGACUGAGCUACAAAGGCAUCUUCCAGUAUGACUACCACGAUAAAGUCAAGCCCAGGAAGAUAUUCCAAUGGAGGCAGUUGGAAAACCUGUAUUUCAGAGAGAAGAAGUUUUCUGUGGAAGUUCAUGACCCACGCAGGGCUUCAGUGACGAGGAGGACGUUUGGACACAGCGGCAUCGCAGUGCACACGUGGUACGCGUGUCCGGCACUGAUCAAGUCCAUCUGGGCUAUGGCCAUUAGCCAACACCAGUUCUAUCUGGACAGAAAGCAGAGUAAGUCGAAGAUCCAUGCCGCCCGCAGCCUGAGCGAGAUCGCCAUCGACCUGACGGAGACGGGGACGCUGAAGACGUCCAAGCUGGCCAACAUGGGCAGCAAGGGCAAGAUCAUCAGCGGCAGCAGCGGCAGCCUGCUGUCCUCAGGUUCUCAGGAAUCAGAUAGCUCGCAGUCGGCCAAGAAAGACAUGCUGGCAGCCUUGAAAUCCAGGCAGGAAGCUCUGGAGGAAACGCUUCGCCAGCGGCUGGAAGAGCUGAAGAGACUCUGCCUACGAGAAGCGGAGCUGACGGGCAAACUGCCCGUGGAGUAUCCCCUGGAUCCAGGAGAGGAGCCACCCAUUGUUCGAAGAAGAAUCGGGACAGCCUUCAAACUGGACGAGCAGAAAAUCCUGCCCAAAGGAGAGGAGGCCGAGCUGGAGCGCCUGGAGCGGGAGUUUGCCAUUCAGUCCCAGAUUACGGAGGCUGCCCGCCGGCUGGCCAGUGACCCUAACGUCAGCAAGAAACUGAAGAAGCAGAGGAAGACCUCUUACCUGAAUGCACUGAAGAAGCUGCAGGAGAUUGAAAGCGCAAUCAACGAGAACCGCGUCAAGUCUGGGAAGAAACCCACCCAGCGGGCCUCGCUGAUCAUCGAAGAUGGAAAUAUUGCCAGUGAAGACAGUUCCCUGUCAGAUGCCCUUGUUCUAGAAGAUGAAGACUCUCAGGUCACCAGCACACUGUCCCCCUUACAGUCCCCUCACAAAGGGCUCCCUCCUCGGCCACCGUCGCACAACCGGCCGCCCCCUCCCCAGUCCCUGGAGGGACUCAGGCAGAUGCACUAUCACCGCAACGACUAUGACAAAUCGCCCAUAAAGCCCAAAAUGUGGAGCGAGUCCUCCUUAGAUGAGCCUUACGAGAAGGUCAAGAAGCGUUCCUCCCACGGUCACUCCAGUAGCCACAAGCGCUUCCCCAGCACGGGGAGCUGCGCUGAAGCGGGCGGGGGCGGCAGCUCCCUGCAGACCAGCCCCAUCCGCAGCCUCCCGCCCUGGAACUCGCAGCGCAGCAUGCCGUCCACACCCGACCUCCGAGUCCGGAGUCCCCACUACGUGCAUUCCACGAGGUCGGUGGACCUCAGCCCCACGCGGUUGCACAGCCUCGCCCUGCACUUCCGGCACCGGAGCUCCAGCUUGGAGUCCCAGGGCAAGCUCCUGGGCUCGGAGAACGACACGGGGAGCCCCGACUUCUACACGCCGCGCACGCGCAGCAGCAACGGCUCGGACCCCAUGGACGACUGCUCGUCGUGCACCAGCCACUCGAGCUCGGAGCACUACUACCCGGCGCAGAUGAACGCCAACUACUCCACGCUGGCCGAGGACUCGCCGUCCAAGGCGCGCGCGCGGCAGCGGCAGCGGCAGCGGGCGGCGGGCGCGCUGGGCGCGGCGAACUCGGGCAGCAUGCCCAACCUGGCGGCGCGCGGCGGCGGCGGCGGCGGCGGCCACGGCCACGGCCACAGCCACGGCGUCUACCUGCACAGCCAGAGCCAGCCCAGCUCGCAGUACCGCAUCAAGGAGUACCCGCUGUACGUGGAGGGCGGCGCCACGCCCGUGGUGGUGCGCAGCCUGGAGAGCGACCAGGAGGGCCACUACAGCGUCAAGGCGCAGUUCAAGACCUCCAACUCGUACACGGCCGGCGGCCUGUUCCGGGAGAGCUGGCGCGGCGCCGACGAGGGCGACGCGGGCCGCCUGACGCCCUCGCGCUCGCAGAUCCUGCGGACUCCGUCGCUGGGCCGCGACGGCGGCGCCCACGACAAGGGCGCGGGCCGCGCCGCCGUCUCGGAUGAGCUGCGCCAGUGGUACCAGCGCUCGAGCGCCUCGCACAAGGAGCACAGCCGCCUGUCGCACGCCAGCUCCGCCUCCUCGGACAGCGGCUCCCAGUACAGCGCCUCCUCCCAGAGCACCUUCGUGGCGCACAGCAGGGUCACCAGGAUGCCCCAGAUGUGCAAGGCCACGUCAGCUGCCUUACCUCAAAGCCAGAGAAGCUCAACGCCGUCCAGUGAAGUUGGAGCGACGCCCCCCGGCAGCCCUCACCACAUCCUAACCUGGCGGACUGGAGAAGCAACAGAAAACUCGCCCAUUAUGGAUGGGUCUGAGUCUCCAACUCACCAAAGUACUGAUGAAUAGAGGUAUCGUAAGGGCAUGUUUCGUUCUUACAGCCUUCCCCCUUCACUGCUCAUGAGUCUGUGAUCUCAGAUGUGCUGCAGCUGUGUUGCCUUUGCCCGAGCUACAACGAUAGCUGUUUCCUGGAUUCCUCCCUCUAUCCGGAACUAGCUGAUGUCCAGUGGUACGGGCAAGAAAAAGCCAAGCCCGGGACCCUCGUGUGAGCCAGCCGGCCUCAAUCUGGCCGCCUCGAUGCCAUUCUGAGAUCACCUCACUGCCUCUCAUUUGCCUUACCCAGACGCAGUGUCACCCUGCACCAGCUUCGGCCCUCAGCACUUUUCUUCUCCUGUUUCCGCGUCCCCCUCACCCUCCAACAACCUGACUGGGGAGACAUUCUGGAAGGUUCCGGUCCCACUGUGUGUCCCCUGGCUCCCUUGCCCAGAGAGCCAGGCACCAAUCCUCAACGGCACCUUGGUGGCUCCCCCCUGCUGCGACAGCCCCCUGGCCGGGAACCAUCAGGGAAGCUGGCUGGCCUGGAUUCCUGUGGGCUAGUGGCAUUGGUGGAGACCAGGAGAGGGGACUUACGUACAGGGCGAUCCAGAAAGACUGUGAAAGCUGGGGCCCCCCUGGAGGCCCCACCAAGCCCUUGGUGACGAAGAUGCCUCGUGCGAACAUUCAGCGGACAGCUGAACUACUUCCUGGGAGGAGUGACUGUUGCGGGAGCAGGGAGAACGGAAACAGAAGCUGAACACGUCAGAGAUGCAUCCAAGGAUCACAGUCAGUUAUGCUGCCAAAGAUUUUAAAAAAUUAAAAACUGAAAACACACAAAAAAUUAAGAGGGGCCAAGAGGAAGACGUUCUUUCUGCAAUGAGACCUCCUUUAAAUCCUCCACUGCUAUUGCAUCCCACACGUGAACGUCAGCCAUCUGUGACGGGUGCCCCUCUUCACCCCUCUCCAUCGAGAGCCUGAAAACUAACCCCAUGUGAUGGCCACGUCGGGGGACCCCUGGCUGGCACUGCUGACUUGGAUCUCCACGAGUCUGGACCCCAAGGAGAACAGACCCACGGGGAGUAGCGGAGUGUCCGCUUAGCCCCGGCCUGCAUGGGGGGUUCAGCCCAAGACACAAAGCUGCUUUCCUUUGCGGAUUUGUAGGAAACGUAAGGUGAUGGUUGCCAAAAGUGGUUCUCUCUCAUUAAAACAACCAGUAAAAGUGUACCCUAUUUUUUUCUCACAAGGUGUUUCAUUUGAUUUCUUAUGGGAAGCCAAGGGAAAAAGCACACUGCAAUCCAUUCAAGUGUUUAACUGUCGUAGCCCAUUUUCUGUUUGUUAGCACUCGUGUGACAAAGAGCUCAGAUCCGAUGGCACCCGGUUACCAACGUGUCACUUCUUCCAGGAACCCAACUAUGCCCUUAGGUAGGAAGACCGUACUCACAUGUCUACUAGCUGGCAGGCAGAGCAGGGUUGAAAAAAUGUAUCAGCUCCCAGAGGGCCCAUAUGCCUACGACAUCAUCAGCGACCUUGAUAUGUCACGAUGGUCUGCAGGUACCAAAAAAGGAAGAGAGAAGAAAGGUGUGUGGGAGCUGCACGUUUACAUGUGUUUUGAGCUAUGCUUAAUACACAACUGGAGAGCCAUCAAUCUUCAGAGGCCUCAAAAAUAGUUUUAUAAUACUAACAAGUGCGCACUCGUAGUUGGGUUAUUUCAAAUGGCACAAACACGGUCUCCACAGAGGUGGGAUGCUGUGCUUAUGGGCGCAAGUGGCGGGGCGGGGGGGGAAAUUUCUUUUCUCACUUGUAAUGACUUCCUACUGGAAAGGCAGUGGACAGCCAGAGACAGGAGCUGGGGUGGGGGAGAUUUGUGGGCAAGCAGAGUUGAAGUUAGCUUUAGCGUAACAAGAAAAAGCUUUGUUUUUUAUGUAUAGGCAAUCCAAGAAUAAACAACAGACUCUACCAGACCAGGAGGGUAAGAACGGACACUUAGCAUUGGUUAAAAUGAACUAUCAGGAAAUACCCACGGUGCUCCCCCUGCGGGCUCACGGCAGGCUGGGGCCAGGCUGGACGGCUCAGGGCCGGGCUUCCCUGGCUCUGUGCACUGCUGGGUUGGUGAUGCCAGCUUGCGGAAGGGAUUAAUAUUCACAGAACACUUUAGGGGUGAACCCUGCAGGGCAAAUAAAAUUGGUUAUGAUGAUAUUAAACGAUUCUGGGGAUUGACACGGGCAGGGGUGUUGCUCUUAUUUUGAUGCUCAGAGCUACAAACAGCAGGUUUUUCUUUCCCCAUUCGGAAACAUUCUGUAUUAGGCCAGAUUCUUUCUCCCAAAAGAAGAUGCAUGAAUAAUCAAACUGAACUCUGUCCCAGAGGAAAAGUCAAAAGGGAAAUAGACGAGGUGACCAGGUUACAUACUGCGGAUGAUACAAAUCAAGUCUGAAGUCAGUCGGAUCAAAUUUUUAGCCCAGUUGGGUUACAAUGACUGAGAGACAAAAAUUCUUUCUAAACACUUGGGUGUGGGAUUCGGGGGGCAGAAAGGAAUGGAGGCAGGAUAGAGGGGCAGAAUUACAGUUCAGGCAAACAGUAUGAUGGUCUGGUAGUAAAGACGGAGAUUAAGUAAAACAGGUUUUACUGUUGAGCUGCGUUCAGUUCCUACAGGAUGUACAUAAAAGUGCUGGUCCUUUGAGACUGACGUGGUUAAUGAUGAGUGUGGUGGGAAAUGAUAUAGUUACUGUACACAAGCACUGGCAAGCUCUUUAUGUAUCCCUAUUUCUUUAAGGCAAAUUAAGAUGAAAUAUGAAACCCCUGGUCUGAUACAAAGCCCCUACUGGAUUCUUUGGAUACGUAUAAGAAACUGCCUGUUUAGCCAGAAGGCUGGUGAAAACACCUACGUCAGACUUUGUUAUGAGACAGAUGGGUUUUUCUAAUUUGAUCAUAUGCAGGUGAGUGUUGAAACCGUUCAAAUUCCAAUUUGUUUUCAUUCGGUAUUAGUUUAGUUCUACACAUAGCAAACCCCAUCCAGGUGCUAUCAGAUGACCAGUUACUGCUUAAUUAACUAGGUGUAAAGUUUUACAUAUACAUUAAUGUCAAUAGUUUAUUACAAGUCGUGUAAAAUGGACUCUAGUUUAAUAAUGGGGAAGAAAGGAUUAGGUCGCUCCUGAAACUGACUUGUAGAGCAUGUAAAAUGAUUUUACUGGAUUCUGUUCAACUGUAAUCAAUGACAAAGAUGUAUGUUGUAGACAAAGUUGCAGAAUUAAAAAGAAAUCUGCUUUUAAUUUAUUCUUUUUGUAUUAAGAAUUUGUAUAGUACCUUUACAUUUUGCAAAACAGUGUUGUCAACACUUAUUAAAGCAUUUUCAAAAUGAAAA